CCUACGGGUGGCAGCAGUGAGGAAUAUUGGUCAAUGGCCGGAAGGCUGAACCAGCCAAGCCGCGUGAAGGACGAAGGUGCUACAUAUUGUAAACUUCUUUUGUCAAGGGACAAAAUCAGGCUCGAGAGCCUGACCGAGCGUACUUGAAGAAAAAGCCUCGGCAAACUCCGUGCCAGCAGCCGCGGUAUACGGAGGAUGCGAGCGUUAUCCGGAUUUAUUGGGGUAAAAGGGUGCGUAGGCGGACUGUUACGUCAGCGGGAAAAGCCCGGGGCUCAACCCCGGCGAGCCGUUGAAACUGGCGGUCUUGAGUAGUGGAGAGGUAUGCGGAAUGCGCGGUGUAGCGGUGAAAUGCUUAGAUAUUACGCAGAACACCGAUUGCGAAGGCAGCAUACCGGCGGCGAACUGACGCUGAGGCACGAAAGCGUGGGGAGCGAACAGGAUUAGAUACCCGUGUAGUC
rnacentral:rRNA from 1 species